UCGAUACAUACGUUGUUACAGACUGUGAAUAUUCGUGCAAAUUCAUAUUUUUAUGAGUACAGUUAAAAAAGUGGGAUCUGCUAAACUAACUCCACAUGGAAACCAUAUUCCCAUUAGAGCUUGAGAUUAAAUACGUACAUGCUUUGUCAUCUUCUUGGACAUUUAAAAAAUAUUAACGACUUAAAUACCUUUUUUGUCAAUCAAAUGACACAGUCGGACACUGUGAUGAGUAAUUCUAUGAAAAUUACGAACAUCGCAUGUUACGCCAGCGGGAAAUGGCGCGGAUGAAAGAAUCUUUUAAUAAGCUAUCGCCCGUGAGGCUUGCCCUUGCAUCAGACCUUCACGACCUUAACCGUUUUGCGAUUGCUUCGUCUGGUUACAGUUGAGGAAUCGAGCGUUUAACG
rnacentral:misc_RNA from 1 species